rnacentral:rRNA from 1 species
AGAGUUUGAUCCUGGCUCAGGAUGAACGCUAGCUACAGGCUUAACACAUGCAAGUCGAGGGGAAACGAUAUUGGAAGCUUGCUUCCGAUAGGCGUCGACCGGCGCACGGGUGGGUAACGCGUAUCCAACCUGCCCACCACUUGGGGAUAACCUUGCGAAAGUAAGACUAAUACCCAAUGAUAUCUCUAGAAGACAUCUGAAAGAGAUUAAAGAUUUAUCGGUGAUGGAUGGGGAUGCGUCUGAUUAGCUUGUUGGCGGGGUAACGGCCCACCAAGGCGACGAUCAGUAGGGGUUCUGAGAGGAAGGUCCCCCCANAUUGGAACUGAGACACGGUCCAAACUCCUACGGGAGCA